rnacentral:rRNA from 1 species
GACAGAGGAGCCAAGCGUUGUCCGGAUUGACUGGGCGUAAAGCGCACGCAGGCGGUUGCGCGCGUGGGGUGUGAAAUCUGGCCGCUUAACGGCCAGGCGCCAUCCCAUACGGCGCGACUGGAGUGAUGCAGAGGUCGAUGGAAUUGCCGGUGUAGUGGUGAAAUGCGUAGAGAUCGGCAGGAACACCCAGGGGGAAACCAGUCGACUGGGCAUCUACUGACGCUGAGGUGCGAGAGCGUGGGGAGCGAACUGG